rnacentral:rRNA from 1 species
UACGGGGGGGGCAAGCGUUGUUCGGAAUUACUGGGCGUAAAGCGCGUGUAGGCGGCUUUUCAAGUCAGACGUGAAAGCCCUGGGCUUAACCCAGGAACUGCGUUUGAUACUGUAAAGCUAGAGUGUGGAAGAGGCUACUGGAAUUCCGUGUGUAGCGGUGAAAUGCGUAGAUAUACGGAGGAACACCUGCGGCGAAGGCGGGUAGCUGGGCCAACACUGACGCGGAGAAGCGAAAGCUAGGGUAGCAAACGGG